CCUACGGGUGGCAGCAGUGGGGAAUAUUGGGCAAUGGAGGCAACUCUGACCCAGCAACGCCGCGUGAAUGAUGAAGGUCUUCGGAUUGGAAAGUUCUUUUCUAAGGGAAGUAGAAAGUGACGGUACCUUAGGAAUAAGCCUCGGCUAACUACGUGCCAGCAGCAGCGGUAAUACGGAGGAGGCAAGCGUUAUCCGGAUUGACUGGGCGUAAAGGGUGCGUAGGUGGUUUGACAAGUUAGUAGCGCAACUUCGGAGCUCAACCUCGGAAUUACUACUAAAACUGUUGGACUUGAGUGCAGGGGGGGCAAGCGGAAUUCCUGGUGUAGCGGUGGAAUGCGUAGAUAUCAGGAAGAACACCAGUGGCGAAGGCGGAUUGCUAGACUAUAACUGACACUGAUGCACGAAAGCGUGGGGAGCAAACAGGAUUAGAUACCCCAGUAGUC
rnacentral:rRNA from 1 species